GACGAACGCUGGCGGCGCGCUUAACACAUGCAAGUCGAGCGAUGAAACUUUAACAGAACCCUUCGGGGCGAAGAUAAAGUGGAUUAGCGGCGGACGGGUGAGUAACACGUGAGUAACCUGCCUUAGAAAUUGGGAUAGCCUCGGGAAACCGGGAUUAAAACCAAAUAAAAUCAUAAUCAUACAUGUCAUAACGAUCAAAACCCCGGUGGUCUAAGAUGGACCCGCGUCCCAUUAGCUAGUUGGUAGAGUAAAAGCCUACCAAGGCGACGAUGGGUAGCCGGCCUGAGAGGGUGAACGGCCACAUUGGAACUGAGAAACGGUCCAAACUCCUACGGGAGGCAGCAGUGGGGAAUAUUGCACAAUGGAGGAAACUCUGAUGCAGCGACGCCGCGUGAACGAAGAAGGCUUUCGAGACGUAAAGUUCUUUUAUAUGGGAAGAUAAUGACGGUACCAUAAGAAAAAGCCCCGGCUAACUACGUG
rnacentral:rRNA from 1 species